rnacentral:misc_RNA from 1 species
GUAGGUGAACCUGCGGAAGGAUCAUUAUUGAAUAAACUUGAUCAGGUUGUUGCUGGCUCCCCUGAGCAUGUGCACACUUGUCAUCUUUACUUUUCCCCCAAUGUGCACAUAUUGUAGGCCUGGAACUCUUUUGAUUAUCUCGUAUAGAUUGAGGACUGCUGUGCUUCAGCCAGCUUUUCCUUGUGUUUUCAGGUCUAUGUUUACCUUCACAACCUCUGAAUAUGUUUAGAAUGUUGGAAUAUAAUAUAUAUAUACAACUUUCAGCAACGGAUCUCUUGGUUCUC